rnacentral:rRNA from 1 species
AUUGAACGCUGGCGGCAGGCCUAACACAUGCAAGUCGAACGGUAGCACAGGAGAGCUUGCUCUCUGGGUGACGAGUGGCGGACGGGUGAGUAAGGCAUGGGGAGCUGCCCAAUCGAGGGGGAUACCAGCUGGAAACGGCUGCUAAUACCGCAUACGCCCUGAGGGGGAAAGGUGGGGACCUUCGGGCCUACCGCGAUUGGAUGCACCCAUGUGGGAUUAGCUAGUUGGUGAGGUAACGGCUCACCAAGGCGACGAUCUCUAGCUGGUCUGAGGGGAUGACCAGCCACACUGGAACUGAGACACGGUCCAGACUCCUACGGGAGGCAGCAGUGGGGAAUAUUGCACAAUGGGGGAAACCCUGAUGCAGCCAUGCCGCGUGUGUGAAGAAGGCCUUCGGGUUGUAAAGCACUUUCAGUGGGGAGGAAGGGGAGUAAGCUAAUACCUUACUUCAUUGGCGUUACCCACAGAAGAAGCACCGGCUAACUCCGUGCCAGCCGCCGCUGUAACAC